rnacentral:lncRNA from 1 species
AUUUGCUGAAGGCCGUGUAAAUGUCGGGGCAGAGGAGAGCUCUGAGACAGAAUGGUUGGAAGAGCAUGCAGGAGCACAGGACUUGUUCCAGCCAGGAGGAUGCACUUCUGCUCUGUGCGUUGGGGGCCUUGGGGUGUGCUUUGCAACUUCUGAGUCAAGGCCACUGUUUGUUUCUUGGUAGGGAGCAGCUUUUGAAAGAUUCCAAAGGGUGAAAUUGGCUCCGCAUUUUUCUUCAAACAAAAAGAAACACAGGGUUCAAUCCAGUUGGACCAAUUCCUGUAACUGUUAAUUGCCUUAAAAUUAAAAGUUUCGAAAGUUUCUCAACCCACUCAAAAUAAGUUCUUGACUUCACAGGUGCUAGUUUCUGUGAAUCGUCCCUAGUCCUUGCUUGGUUGAGAAGCUGAUACAAGCAAACCCCCCGUGAUCUGAAACUUGACGACAGUGUCCAGGUUUGAUGUGGGUUUGUGGUUUAAAGAGCCAGUUUUUCAAAGUACUUUAGUACACUUUUCAGUUUUCACAAAGAAACUGCCAGGGGCCAGUGUCUCUGGAUGAAAUAUGUUCAUGUCCUUUUUCUCUGCUUGGUGAGCAGAAAUAAAGGGUGCAGCGACACCAUGCCAGCCCUAGGGACUGCCACAGGAACCAGUGGGCGGAACCUGGACCACAGCAAGGGCCAGUCCAGCCAGUCCUCAACAGAAAGGUCUGUGUGACCUUGUGAAGGAGAUUCCAUCAUGUGAUCACAGGGGACAGAAAAGGGCUGCAGGAGAAUGCAGUACACCCUUUGAAUAGAGCUAUGCUCCAGGCACAGGCUGGCCGGGAUCCUGCACAUGGUGGACUCUGCUCUCAGCUACGCUUCUUCCUCGGAGAUGCCCACCUGGCGAGUCUGUGAUGAGCAGGAGCAGGGAGGCCCUUUCUCUCCUGCUGGGUUAGGACAGCUCUGAGCCAUGGUUACACAACCAAGCAGCGAUGUUUCUAGGAUCUACUCCAUCUCAUUGAAAUUCAGGAGGCAGUGCUCCUUCCCUUGGCUCAAGUGCAGUUUUGCUGGGCUUUUGUUCCAUGUGUGAAUAGUUCUUGCUGGAAGCCCCUCACCCCAAGACAAGUUCUCCCAACGGCCGGACUGCAGCGGAGGUAAGCACACAGACGUAAGCUGCAGAACAAGUGAGUCUUGGGCUGUCUCCUGGGCAGUCACCACCUUGAGCCUAGUAGCAG